rnacentral:rRNA from 1 species
UUCCAGCUCCAAUAGCGUAUAUUAAAGUUGUUGCGGUUAAAAAGCUCGUAGUUGAAUUUGUGUCCCGCACUGUCGGUUCACCGCCCGCGGUGCUAACUGGCAUGUUUGCGGGACGUCCUGCCGGUGGAUGUUCAGUAGUGAUUGAUCGGAAACUUUCUUUCACUAUUUCAUCCGACUUAUGAAUCCUGUCGCGGUGCUCUUAACUGAGUGUCGAGGCGGGCCGGCACGUUUACUUUGAACAAAUUAGAGUGCUCAAAGCAGGCUAAUUAAUGCCUGAAUAGUUAGUGCAUGGAAUAAUGAAACAGGACCUUGGUUCUAUUUUGUUGGUUUCCGGAACCCCAAGGUAAUGAUUAAUAGGGACAGAUGG